AUAAUACUCCCUCCGUCCCGAAUUAGUUGACUCGGAUUUCUCUAGAUCCGAAUAUAUCUAGACACAUUUUAGUGUUAGAUACAUCCGUAUCUAGACAAAUCUAAGUCAACUAAUUUGAGACGGAGGUAAUAGUAU
rfam:Triticum aestivum genome assembly, contig: Triticum_aestivum_CS42_TGACv1_scaffold_640959_T_7BL-0.163756_6BS-0.137132